UAUUUUAUCAAAUUGCUUCCUCUUGCUGAUGGCUGGAACCCAACUUGGAUAUUGUGGUUUUACGAUUGUGAUAUAAAAUGCCAUCAGGAAGUAUUCUGAUGUCUCCAGAUCACCCUCAAGAUAAUCAGCAUGGUCUGAAUUGACUUUGAACUACUAGACUAGAUCUUGUUCCCAGACUUACCUGAAUAUAUAACCAGUGAAGAUCUCUCAUUUAAUAAAGCUUCCCUCCCCCACAAUUCUGAUUCUCGACAAUUGAGAUUUAAGAGGCACAAAUGGAAGCGCACAAAUCACAAAACUUACCCAGAUUCCUGAAUUCAAACUUGGGUCCAUAACUCAGGCCUUAAAGAUAUUUUAUAGUCUCUCAACUUUUAUCUGUUUAUGAGCAUCAUAACACAAGAUUAAACUUUUGUAGUUAAUUCUCACUGUAGUAAAGUGUCUCAUCUCUACACUUGACAGUUUCUGGCUCUGAUUUCAUUCUCUAUUAAGUUCAUUGAUGAAAGGAGCAGAAAAAGAACAAUUUGUGAGACUGUCUUUACAUUUAUUGACAUAAAUUGUUCAGUAGAUUUUACUCAAUAACAAUUUCCAAUUUUCCUGUUUUCUUCAUCCAUUUACAGUCCAUAAUGUUACAGACAAUUGACAGCAUGUUUCUUUGCACAUAAAACUAAGAGCAAAGAUGCACAUUCUCAAAAAACAUAUUAAACCCAGGCAGCUUGGUUUGAUUUAUAUGUAUAUGUAAAAGCAUCUUCCAUUU
rnacentral:lncRNA from 1 species